GCCAGCAUGGCAUAGUGGGUUUGAGUGUUGGACUAGGACACCAGGAGACCAGGGUUCGAAUCUCUGCUUCGCCA